rnacentral:lncRNA from 1 species
GCUUCAGGGAAAUUUUCAACUUUUCCCUGCUACAGACAAGGACUUGAUGGACAUGUUAUACAGAAUGCCAGAGCUGUACUUGGUGGUUUCUUGUGCCCCUGUAUUCAGGCAUUUGUUAAGGACCAGCUAUAUAAAGAUAAAAUGCAUGCUGUCAAGCACUACAACACAGCUCAGGGUGAUGGAGGUUCUGGUGGGGACAGGAGCAAUGGUCUGGUAAGUCAUGUGUACUACACAUAGAUUUUGCCAUGCAAAGCAGUUUGGAUUUUAUCCCAUCUGUGUGACAACUUAGGAAGAAGAUUGAGCUGGUGUGAGGGAGUCAUGACUGAGUGUCAUGUUACAACUAUUACUCAGGUGUAUUUAGAAUGGGUAGGUAGGAAGGUAGAGUGAUCAGGAAAGAGGUUGAGUGCUCAAUGCUGAGAUAUUGCACUGGGAAUGAAAAAGAGGGGCUGAACUUGUGAAAUAUGUUGAAGGUGAAGUGACAGGAUUUGAAGACCAAUUGUGUGAGGGAGAGAAGUUUU